AUUGAACGCUGGCGGCAGGCUUAACACAUGCAAGUCGAGCGGAGAUGAGGUGCUUGCACCUUAUCUUAGCGGCGGACGGGUGAGUAAUGCUUAGGAAUCUGCCUAUUUGUGGGGGACAACAUUCCGAAAGGAAUGCUAAUACCGCAUACGUCCUACGGGAGAAAGCAGGGGAUCUUCGGACCUUGCGCUAAUAGAUGAGCCUAAGUCGGAUUAGCUAGUUGGUGGGGUAAAGGCCUACCAAGGCGACGAUCUGUAGCGGGUCUGAGAGGAUGAUCCGCCACACUGGGACUGAGACACGGCCCAGACUCCUACGGGAGGCAGCAGUGGGGAAUAUUGGACAAUGGGGGGAACCCUGAUCCAGCCAUGCCGCGUGUGUGAAGAAGGCCUUAUGGUUGUAAAGCACUUUAAGCGAGGAGGAGGCUACUGAGACUAAUACUCUUGGAUAGUGGACGUUACUCGCAGAAUAAGCACCGGCUAACUCUGUGCCAGCAGCCGCGGUAACAC
rnacentral:rRNA from 1 species